GCCGGGCGUGGUGGCGUGCGCCUACAGUCCUAGCUACUCGGGAGGCUGAGGCAGGAGAAUCGCUUGAAUCCGGGAGGCNUGGAGGUUGCAGUGAGCCAAGAUGGAGCCACUGCGACACCAGCCUGGGCAACAGAGUGAGACUCUGUCUCAA
rnacentral:SRP_RNA from 1 species